AUUCCAGCUCCAAGAGCGUAUAUUAAAGUUGUUGCAGUUAAAAAGCUCGUAGUUGGAUUUCUGGUACAACGCGCCUGGCCCGCUUUUGUGAGUGCCGGUGCGCGUUUGCCAUCCUUCUAGAAAACGUCUCUACUCGGGCAACUGGGCCGGAUUCGCGAUCUAGAUCUUUUACUUUGAAAAAAUUAGAGUGUUUAAAGCAGGCUAUUGCCUUGAAUACAUUAGCAUGGAAUAAUAAUCUAGGACUUCGGUUCUAUUUUGUUGGCUCUUAGUACUGAAGUAAUGAUUGAUAGGGAUAGUUGGGGGUGCUAGCAUUGGCCGGCCAGAGGUGAAAUUCUUGGAUUCGGUCAAGACUAACUUAUGCGAAAGCAUUCACCAAGGAUGUCUUCAUUA
rnacentral:rRNA from 1 species